GGAGAGGUGCCCGAGCGGCUGAAGGGGCUGGUCUCGAAAACCAGUGUGCGGCUUGCCGCACCGCGGGUUCGAAUCCCGCCCUCUCCG
rnacentral:tRNA from 1 species